GAUGAACGCUGGCGGCGUGCCUAAUACAUGCAAGUCGAGCGAACAGAUGAGGAGCUUGCUCCUCUGACGUUAGCGGCGGACGGGUGAGUAACACGUGGAUAACCUACCUAUAAGACUGGGAUAACUUCGGGAAACCGGAGCUAAUACCGGAUAAUAUAUUGGACCGCAUGGUUCAAUAGUGAAAGACGGUUUUGCUGUCACUUAUAGAUGGAUCCGCGCCGCAUUAGCUAGUUGGUAAGGUAACGGCUUACCAAGGCAACGAUGCGUAGCCGACCUGAGAGGGUGAUCGGCCACACUGGAACUGAGACACGGUCCAGACUCCUACGGGAGGCAGCAGUAGGGAAUCUUCCGCAAUGGGCGAAAGCCUGACGGAGCAACGCCGCGUGAGUGAUGAAGGUCUUCGGAUCGUAAAACUCUGUUAUUAGGGAAGAACAAAUGUGUAAGUAACUAUGCACGUCUUGACGGUACCUAAUCAGAAAGCCGCAGCUAACUACGUG
rnacentral:rRNA from 1 species